UUCCUCCAAGAUCGGCUGCCCCCUUUCCCAAAGCUCUCUCCUUUAUCUCAUCCACUCAACACCCAUCAAUCCCAAAUCCUUGCAAGGUCACAAAAUUAAACCUCACACCACUCAAUCUCUCUCUUACACCAACGAAUCUCGCCGGAUUAUUUCCUCUUUCAUCAUUUGAUUCGAAAUUUCCAAAUCUGAAACCCUAGGCUCAAAGAGGAAAUCGUCUGAUUUCUUCUUUGCCCUUUCUAAUCAAGCAUGCAUGGCAAUCCAUCUUGUCCCUAUACCGUGAAUCCUAUUUUUUUCAUUUGCAUUUCCAUCGAUAAAAUUCAUAAGCCCCAAUUUGAAAACCCUAGACCCAAAAAUAAAACCUCAAAUCGUCUGAGUCCCUCUUAUGUUCUUUCAAAUCGGAGGCAUGCAUGAAGGUUUCACAGGCUUCAUCAUUGUUAUUCGAUAUCUAGAGGUCAAACGCAGUGACCUAUAGUCACUGAAGCUUUAACCGAUGGUCUUUCGAUUCAACGGUCGAUUUCUUUUCUCAAGUAAAACCCCUCACCAUUUUCCCUCUAUUUUCUCUGAUUUUACCUGUCUUGCUAUCAUCAUCUACUCUUCGUCAUCUUUCACUAUCUAAAUUCAAAUCUGUCGAAACACUAAGACGUUAAUGGCCACUAUAAAUAGGAUCCUUAAUUGCUCACCUUAAAAAAUCAACAACACCUAAGAGAAUCGAAUACAAUUUAAAGAAAGAAAGAAAAGAAAAGCUUUAGAUUUCCUCACUGAUUUUCACUUUCUCUUUUCCUUCUUUGGUUCAGAGUUCGUUUAUUGUUCGGGCUUGAGUUUGGAUUCCUAAACGGCUAAACGAAGCUUUUGUUUGGUUUGCUGCUCCGUAGAAGGUCAGUGUACACUGACCCUCCCUUUUCUUUCGAUUAUUUGUGUUUAUUUUGUGAUUCUAAUGUCUUCUCUGUUGACUUCCUUUUGUUCAUGAUAUAUGUUAGUAAUCUUAUGAUUGCCUGCUAUGUUUUCUGCUGUUCUUAUUGAUCUAAAAUGAUUAUUCUCCUGAUAACUUAUGAUUGCCCUAGUAUUGCUAGCUAAUCUGUGCUAAUGAAAUCCGUGACUUAACUAGAUAACAUUUGCUAUAGUAGAUGAUAUAAAUCCUGUUGAACUCUUGUCAUUAGCUAAAAGACUUCUGAUGUUUUCUAUGACUGUUUUGCUAACCAUGCCACCAUGCUUAUCUAACUUGAUUAAGCUAUGAUCUUAAACUCUUUCUUGACAUCCUGUUGAGAGUUUAUAUCUGCACAUCUGUGCUUAGUUUAGUGAUGUUGUACCACCUUUGAUUCAACUAAAUGACCUUCAUCAUAGUAUCCAUCCCACACACUUAACCUACCUGUUUGACCAACUAAUCUGUUACUAUAACUAGGCCUGCUGUAUAUACUUAAUAACUUACAUAUACUUGUUACUAUAACCCGAACUCCUGUAAUGAAUUCAUCAUCUUCAUCAUUUUAUUAUCUGCUCGUUUGAUGUGUCCUGUAAUCAUGAAAUCCUGUAGAAGCUUCCUUGCGUAUAAGUUGAGUGAAAUAUGUUAACUUUCCAUGCUUUUGUUUGCCCAGUUGUGUUCAUAAAAUUCCUGUUUGCUUUCAUAUAGGAAAGACUCAUGCCUAAGCCACUGUAUUCUUCACUUGGAAUUGCCUUGUAAAAAUAGAAUUUAAAGCUCACCAGCUUUAACAACUUAACAAUGUAGAAUGUGAGAUGGAAAGUUACUGUUGUCACUCAUAGGCUCAAACAAAUCCAUUAAUGCCUGCUUAUCCUGUUAAAAUGAACAUUGUUUCAUAUCUAGUUGAUGUCUUCUGUCUGUGUAGAUUUAGUUAUGAAUUUGGAAUAUUUGACUGAUGAUCUGAUGGACUAGUGAUCAUAUCACCAAGUUUAGACUAACUUAAAAUUGACUACUUGGCCUGCUUUGAUGCCUUCACUUAGUUAAACAGGGCUGUUAAUAUAGGCCUUUGGUGUAGUGAGGCCUUAAUCAUAUGUAUGUUUGCUCUUGAUUGUUUUCUCAAGACCAUUAUAAUGACUGUUGCUAUCUCGUAUACUUGGAUAAAGGUCCUGAAAUGUUAAGCCUACUGAAACUAAUUAGUACAUGCAUUUUCUUCUAUCAUUCACCCGUGCUCAGAUUAUCCAAUUAGAUGCCCCCCCUGAACUUAUAUUAGUCUACUGAUAGUUUUCCAUUAACUCUCCUUAUUGUACAUAUGUGACAUCUUCUUUAAAUAUUAUGACAUAUGUUAAUAAUGGUCAUUGAUACUAUAAGUGCUUGCAUCAAUCUGUCUUCUUGUGUUUAAGUUCUGAUCCUAAGGUUAAUAAUGUAAUCCUAAGGUGUUCAUGUCCCUGCAUUUUGAAUGAUGUUUUCUGUAACAUUUGAACUUCUUGUAAACUUGAGCCUUUUAUGUUUACUGCUGUUAAUUACUAAAGUGAAUAUCUCAUUUGUAACUAAACCUUUGGAGAAGAGUUAAUGUGAGUGAUUAAGGGUAUUUAGGUUGGAACCUAGUUUGCGGUUAACGUGCCCUUCCAGGACACAAACACUGCUCGUGGUCCCUAAGACCCUCGUGAACUCUGAUGUGCCAGGGAUUCAAAGGGUACCUUGUCCAUGA
rnacentral:lncRNA from 1 species